UGGAAUCAGAACUUCCUCAAUUUCACAGAAAGGAUUGUAUUAUAGGGGUGUGCUUAUUAGUUGCUUGAAGAAUUCAUGAGAUAACCCUGUCUCUGGUUACAUUUAUGAUUCUGUGGGGCAUUCAUAUCUAGUUGGUCCCCCCUUUGCUCCUAUAACAGCCCCCACUCUUCUGGGAAGGCUUUCCACUAGAUGUUGGAACAUUGCUGCAAGGACUUGCUUCCAUCCAGUCACAAAAGCAUUGGUGGAGAUGGGAGGAAGGUAGGCCAGACAUUUUGGGGACAUGGGUUUGGCUUUCCAUUCCCUGCACUUGAGGCAGGAAUGUUGGUGUUGGCGCACAGCUUGACAUCCCUAGUCGAGUCUGACCACCGAACUGUCCUGUCCACAGGUAAGGGGAUAUCGGUCUGUAACAGCUUGGCAACUGUAAGGGCAGCGACUGCCAGAGAAUGGAAAGAGGACAUUUAGGAGCUAGUCUUGAGUUUUCCAUGACAAAGGAGACGUGGACUUGUGCUUACUGGGUUUCGAUCCUGUGGUAUGCCACAUACCCUUAAGCCGGCUCUGAAGCAUCACCGAACACAUGCAACUCUUGAAAGUAACUGGGAUGUUCACUGGGGCUAUAGCAUCUGGGAAUCUGGAUCUUGACCAAUUCAGGGAGCUCACCUUCCCUCUCAGUCCAGGCCUGAUGGAUAGUGCUCUCUGGGGGUUGGAAUUGGGUUAUCCCACACUCUGUUAUUAACCCACAGUUGCGGUAGCAGGACUUUACCUCGUGUGGUGAAGAGUGACAUGAAACCCAGCCGGUCGUACUGACUUGCCAAGACUUUGUACAAGUUUCUCAGGUUAAGGCUCUUGUACUCAACUGGUCGGUGCUUGUAGCCCAGUGUAUCCGAUGGACAGUGAUGACUAGGGUUGCAAAGGGUCAGAAACUUUCCGGUAAAUUUCCAAAAUUUUCUGAACAUUUUCCAUGGUAAAUUAAGCCUGGGAAUUUUGCUGAAAUUCAUCAAAAACAGUUAGCUUAUAAUUUUUGUGGAUUGCACACAAGGCAACUAUCCCCAAUUCAAUGGAAUUGCAACCCUCUGCAUGCACAGUGCAUUAUUCCGUCACGUGCAGUACACUCUUCCACAGAUAUUGCACACUAAUGAGAUGCUAUUGAGUCCACACUACUAUACUGUCUGAGCCAAGGACUACAUGCUUUCUGGUAAGUUUUGACAGUACUGAAUGGGGUGAAUAUAUUUUAUGACAUGAUUUUUUUGUUAACUAGUAAAUAGUAGCCUACAGCAAAGUGUUUAAAUAAUUUCUAACUUGUUAACAAUUUCUGCUAGUUAGUUUUUGCUACCAUGUAUGUUUUAGCUUGCUUGAGCCUGCUAACGGGGGAGUGUUAAUUCACCUGUUUCCAUACGUUUCAUUUUAAAACAUUUACCUUACAAAGGAGUUGUUUAAUCUAACUAACUAUUUCUGUACAUUGAAUUGUAUUUUUUUUUUUUACUCUUUUCUCAUCUUUACAGGAAAAUGCCACGGACACUGUCUGUGUGGAGACAUUUCACUGCAGCUAAUGUAGAAGGAAAAGCAUACACCCCUCCAACCAGACAUAAUUUAUCUACUCAUUUGCUGGAUGCAGAGUUCAAGUGAAGGUCAAGCAAAUCAUAUAGAAAGCGGACUGUAUUGCAAACAUCUCUGAUGGGGGGUUUGAAUGUUCGUGGGCAAGGAAUAAUUAACUACAUCUCCACCCCUCAACCAGUAUUCUACAAGAGCACAGACACAAGGGACAACAGACACACACGUUUCUACAUUGCAGAUGAGUUGAAGGCAGUCAUCAUUGACCUUGGACCACAGAAGGUAUUUGCACUGGUGACAGACAACGCUGUGAAAAUGAAGGCUGCUUGGUAUAAAGUGGAGUCCUACCCUCACAUCACACCCAUUGGCUGUGCUGCUCAUGCAUUGAAUCUGCUCCUAAAGGACAUCAAGGAACUGAAAACAAUGGAUACAUUCUACAAGAGAGCCAAGGAAAUGGUUAGGUAUGUGAAGGGUCAUCAAGUCAUAGCAGAAAUCUACCUUACCAAGCAAAGUGAGAAGAAUAAGAGCGCCACAUUGAAGCUGCCCAGCAACACCUGUUGGGGUGGUGUUGUCAUCAUGUUUGACAGUCUCCUGGAGGGGAAGGACUCUCCAAGAAAUGGCCAUAUCACAGUCUGCCGAUAUGGACAGACCCAUCAAGAGGAUCCUUCUGGAUGUAUUUUGGGAGAGAGUGGUAAGCAGCCUGAAACUUCUGAAACCUAUAUCAGUAGCCAUUGCACAGAUUGAGGGAGACAAUUCCAUCCUGUCUGAUGUUCAGACUCUGCUUGCAGAUGUUAGAGAAGAAAUCCGUACUGCCCUGCCCACUUCACUGUUCCAAGCAGAGGAAACUGCAGUUCUGAAAUACAUCAAAAAGUGUGAAGACUUCUGCCUGAAGCCCAUACACGCCGCAGCGUACAUGUUGGACCCCAAGUAUGCUGGCAAGAGCAUCCUGUCUGGUGCAGGGAUCAACAAGGCCUAUGGUGUCAUCACUACCGUGUCUCGCCACCUUGGCCUGGAUGAGGGCAAGGUUCUUGGCAGUCUGGCGAAGUACACUUCCAAGCAAGGGCUUUGGGAUGGAGAUGCAAUAUGGCAGUCGUGCCAACAUCUCAUCAGCCACCUGGUGGAAGGGACUUUCCAUUGUUGCCUCCAUCAUCCUUCAAAUCCCACCAAAAUCGGCCGCCUCAGAGCGCAACUGGUCCUUGUUUGGGAACACACACACCAAAGCACGCAACAGGCUGACCAAUACAAGGGUUGAAAAAUUGGUGGGUAUCCUGGCAAUUUUGAGGCUUUUUGAGCCUGACAACGAGCCAUCCUCAACAAGGUUGGAAAGUGACAGUGAAGAUAGGGCAUCAGAGUCUGAUGUUCAAGAGGUGGACAUUGAGGAGGUCCAGGGAGAAGGCAUGGAAACCUGAGAGGAAGACAACCAAAGCUUUCAUUUCUAGACUAUCAUUUUACAGAUGUAUGUUAAAUGUUUUUGGGAGAUGCGAUGGAUCGUUGGGUAUCAUUCAAAUAUUCCCUUUUGUUGUUCAGUGAAAUCAUCCCCAAGUGAAGAGUCAACUCAUUUAAUUAAAGUUCAAUUCGCAACUAUAAAUUGUUUUUAAAAUUUAUAUUAGAAGGAUUUAAUCAUUUGCAAUUCUGUCUACUUGUGAUAUGUAAAAAGUUUGUUUCUGUCUCCAUAUGAUACAUACACUGCUCAAACAAAUAAAGGGAACACUAAAAUAACACAUCCUAGAUCUGAAUUAAUGAAAUAUUCUUAUUAAAUACUUUUUCUGUACAUAGUUGAAUGUGCUGACAACAAAACCACACAAAAACUAUCAAUGGAAAUCAAAUUUAUCAACCCAUGGAGGUCUGGAUUUGGAGUCGCACUCAAAGUUAAAGUGGAAAACCACACUACAGGCUGAUCCAACUUUGAUGUGAUGUCCUUAAAACAAGUCAAAAUGAGGCUCAGUAGUGUGUGGGGCUUCCACGUGCCUGUAUGACCUCCCUACAACGCCUGGGCAUGCUCCUGAUGAGGUGGCGGAUGGUCUCCUGAGGGAUCUCUUCCCAGACCUGGACUAAAAGAUCCGCCAACUCCUGGACAGUCUGUGGUGCAACCACAGUUGGUGGAUGGAGUGAGACAUGAUGUCCCAGAUGUGCUCAAUUGGAUUCAGGUCUGGGGAAUGGGUGGGCCAGUCCAUAGCAUCAAUGCCUUCCUCUUGCAGGAACUGCUGACACACUCCAGCCCCAUGAGGUCUAGAAUUGUCUUGCAUUAGGAGGAACCCAGGGCCAACCGCACCAGCAUAUGGUCUCACAAGGGGUCUGAGGAUCUCAUCUCGGUACCUAAUGGCAGUCAGGCUACCUCUGGCGAGCACAUGGAGGGCUGUGCGGCCCCCCAAAGAAAUGCCACCACACACCAUGACUGACCCACCGCUAAACCGGUCAUGCUGGAGGAUGUUGCAGGCAGCAGAACGUUCUCCACAGCGUCUCCAGACUCUGUCACGUCUGUCACAUGUGCUCAGUGUGAACCUGCUUUCAUCUGUGAAGAGCACAGGGCGCCAGUGGCGAAUUUGCCAAUCUUGGUGUUCUCUGGCAAAUGCCAAACGUCCUGCACGGUGUUGGGCUGUAAGCACAACCCCCACCUGUGGACGUCGGGCCCUCAUACCACCCUCAUGGAGUCUGUUUCUGACCGUUUGAGCAGACACAUUCACAUUUGGGGCGGCAGCGUAGCCUAGUGGUUAGAGCGUUGGACUAGUAACCGGAAGGUUGCGAGUUCAAACCCCCGAGCUGACAAGGUACAAAUCUGUCGUUCUGCCCCUGAACAGGCAGUUAACCCACUGUUCCCAGGCCGUCAUUGAAAAUAUGAAUAUGUUCUUAACUGACUUGCCUGGUUAAAUAAAGGUAAAAAAAUUUUUAAAAAUGGUGGCCUGCUGGAGAUCAUUUUGCAGGUCUCUGGCAGUGCUCCCCCUGCUCCUCCUUGCACAAAGGCGGAGGUAGCGGUCCUGCUGCUGGGUUGUUGCCCUCCUACGGCCUCCUCCACGUCUCCUGAUGUACUGGCGUGUCUCCUGGUAGCGCCUCCAUGCUCUGGACACUACGCGACAGACACAGCAAACCUUCUUGCCACAGCUCGCAUUGAUGUCCCAUCCUGGAUGAGCUGCACUACCUGAGCCACUUGUGUGGGUUGUAGACUCCGUCUCAUGCUACCACUAGAGUGAAAGCACCGCCAGCAUUCAAAAGUGACCAAAACAUCAGCCAGGAAGCAUAGGAACUGAGAAGUGGUCUGUGGUUAUCACCUGCAGAACCACUCCUUUAUUGGGGGUGUCUUGCUAAUUGCCUAUAAUUUCCACCUGUUGUCUAUUCCAUUUGCACAACAGCAUGUGAAAUGUAUUGUCUAUCAGUGUUGCUUCCUAAGUGGACAGUUUGAUUUCACAGA